CACUUCUCCCCUGCUCCAGACUGAACCUUGUGCUAGCUUUUCAUGCAGAGAUAAUAGUUGUGUUUAGCAGUGGCUAGUUCUUGUUUCUGCAUGGACUGUUAGUGAAUAAUGUUCCAGGUUGUGGCUGAGCAAAAGGUGCGUGUUCUUACCCUGCCGUGCAGUGAUGUGGCGCUGGCAUCACUCCUCCGUUCGUUCAUGGAUGCGGUCAGUGUCCACUGGUUGGUGUCAGGAUCAUAGCGUUCUGCUGAUUUGAGCCGUCCAUGUCCAUCAAAGCCACCGAUGGCAUAAAUGAACCCAUCCAGAGCAGCAACACUAACAUAGCAUCGCCGUUCAUACAUGGGAGCCACCUACAACAACAUGGUUUUACCGUUUUUUUUUUUUUUUUUUUCAUAUAAGUCAGUGCAUACAUCAAUACACUAUUUCAUUGUUCUCUUUAAUCAGUUGCAAUAAAGUACAAUGAUAUUA